GGCAGUGUGGUCUAGUGGAAAGAGCAUGGGAUUGAACUUCAAAAGACCUGGGUUUUAGUCCCUGCUCUGUCA
rnacentral:tRNA from 1 species